AUACUUCUUGGAACUAACCCGCACUUCCUAUUGCUGCAACUUACCCAGGCUGGAUACUGGAGCCUCAGCUAUGUUGAGCUUAAGGGAUAGAUGCACUCUGUUUUAGAAGUUGCCUGUCCCAGUGUUCCUGAAGCAAUACCAUGAUAGAUUGUUUCAACAAUAGCCUUGGUCUUGGGGAGAUCAAUGGGUUUCCCAAGUUCCCCUGAAGCAAGUUCCUGCAUUGCCAUAUACAUGAUGGUACAAUUGUCAUGUAAGGUGAUACUCAGCUCUUUGUAGCUGUAAGUGAGGCUGUUAAACUAUUCUAAGCUGCUGUGGAAGUUUCUGGCUGUGGCCAUGAGAAUGGAUAGGAAAUUCUAGUCUGUGGACUUCCUCUGCACUUACCCAGCUCCUUUUGUAGCAGUAAUUGCUUAAUCAGCAAAGGUCAAGACUUCCAGAUUGAGGGACUGGGAGUUUAAAUAACUUCAUGAACUGGGGAGUGGAGGAUGCUGCAAAGGAAAAGAAGUUCUCCCAUCUCAAGUGACAGUUCAGUGUAUGCCUGCAAUGUGAAUUCACAUACCAGCUGCAUCUCUUGAAGGUUCUGGUUAUGG